rnacentral:lncRNA from 1 species
AUGUACUGCGAGAAGUGGAGGCCUGUGGCGGAGAUGUGUCUCUUCCUCGAAGACCUGCGGGAGGGCUCGCGCAUCCUAUGCCUCUGCUCGCGGGCGUUUGUGGAAGAUCGGAAAUUGUACAAUUUGGGACUAAAAGGCUACUAUGUUAAAGACGAUGACAGCAGUGCAGGAGAACAAGCCGCGGAAGAGGAGGAAGGAGGCCACUCCCAGGGCCCUGCAGAGCCCCACGACAACAGAUGCCCAGACCCAGAUGAGAGUGAACUGGAUUCCGAGGCUGAACUCAUGAGGAGUAUGGGAUUGCCCCUUCAAUUCGGUAGGAUGUCCGCACAUAAGAAUUUUGAGGAAUCUAUGAAUACUAGGAGAAAAGUUAAAAUAAUGAAAAAGAAAAAGAAAAAAUAUCAAAAAAAGUACUUAGAUGAGAUUAAGAGAGAAUCCUGGAGACAAUGUGAAGAAGAUGACAUUUCAGCUUCGGACGAUCCUUCUUCAUCUGAGAAUGAGAACACUAGAAAGUACAAAGUUCAAAGCCAAAAAGACCUUGAGGCUGAAAGUUUUCCCGUUGAAAACACAGUAGGUCCAAAGCUGGAAGUUACAGAGAUGUGGGAAAAGUACUGGAAUGAAUACGGUGGAGGACUGCUGUGGCAAAGCUGGGAAGAGAAACAUGCAGAUCAGACCCUGUGUCCAGAACCAUGGAAUGUUCCAGACACAAAGGAGGAGUGGGAGCAGCACUACAGUCAGAUGUAUUGGUACUAUCUGGAACAGUUUCAGUACUGGGAAGCUCAGGGCUGGACUUUUGAUGCCUCACAAAGCCGAGAUACAGACCUUGGUGGGUCUAAAAUAGAAGUUGACAACAAAAAAGACGAAAAUCAUAUGAAAGCAGAUGAACUUUUUCCCCCAUCUUUAUCCGUUGGCAGUGAAAGCUCUAGUUCAAGCGAUAAAGAUCAUAGUGAAAUUCUCAAUGGAAUUAGUAACAUAAGUCUGAAUUCAGAGAAAGUAGAACAGAGACAACUAGAUCCCUCCCUAAGUUGUGAUGGACGUCAGUGUUUGAGUGAAGUUCCCAGCAGAAGAGAAUGCCCUGCUUCUGGCCACAGUGAACGGAGUCAUGGAGGAACCACGGAAAGCAGCUCGUCUGGGAGCAGAAGCACAGACCAGCCAGCUCAGGAUUCACAGGAGUCCUCAGAAGCAAACACAGUCAGAGACAGAUGCCACCGCAGUGGCACUGAUGGGGAUGAGAGUGGAGACGAUCCGCCUGAAGAGAAGCGAAGCAAACUGAAGAGGAGUCAUGAGCUGGACCUCGAUGAAAACCCGGACUCAGACUUUGACAACGAUGGUUCUCUUCUGGGAUUCAAGCACGGCUCAGGGCAAAAAUACGGAGGAAUUUCAAACUUCAGUCGCCGGCGGGUGAGGUAUCUGCAGAGGAACAUGAAGCAGAAGUCAAAGUCCUUGGACAUGAGACGACAAAUCAGCAUGAAAAACAAGCACAUCUUCUUCACUGAAGAGUCAGAUAAAACUGGUUUUAAGAAAAGCAGAACUUUGAGUAAGGUAGAAAAAUUUCUAAAGUGGGUUAAGGAACCAAUGGAUGAAGAAGCAUCGCCAGAGUCAGUUUCUCAUAACAACAUGCAAGACACUUGCACGAGCAGUGGCUCAGAGGAACCAGAAGUGUCUGUUGAGAAGGGGGAUGACCCAGUGGAAAGGAGUGAGGCAGAGCCUGGACAGCAUCCUACUGUGUGUCCAGCCGGGGAAGUGGGGGCAGAGAAGCAUAACGGGACCAGCCCAGAAGCCGGGACAGAUACAGAGGGCUGCGUGCCCCAGGCUGCUUCGGACCUUCGCCAGGAAGAGGCUGAAGAGGGCUGGUUUUCAGUUACUCCUGAGAAGAUCGCCGAGCAUAUCGCGGGCAGAGUCAGCCAGUCCUUGGAGAGUGGCACCGUUGUGGACGCCUUCUGCGGAGUUGGAGGGAAUACCAUUCAGUUUGCUCUAACAGGGAAGAGAGUGAUUGCCAUUGAUAUUGAUCCUGUUAAGAUCGAUCUUGCUCGCAAUAAUGCAGAAAUUUAUGGCGUAGUGGACAAGAUCGAGUUCAUCUGUGGAGAUUUCCUGCAAUUGGCAUCUAGUCUAAAGGCUGACAUCGUGUUUCUCAGCCCACCUUGGGGAGGACCGGACUACGCCACUGCUGAGAUCUUCGACAUCAGCACCAUGAUGUCUCCUGACGGCUUUGAAAUUUUCAGACUUUCCCAGAAGAUCACUAAUAAUAUCGUUUUUUUUCUUCCAAGAAAUGCUGAUAUCGACCAGGUGGCGUCCUUGGCUGGGCCUGGAGGGCAAGUGGAAAUAGAACAAAACUUUCUUAAUAAUAGAUUGAAGACAAUCACUGCUUAUUUUGGGGACCUGAUCCGAAGAUCAACCUCUGAAUCAUAAGUGAGGUUGGACAGAGAGACCAGAAGAUCAUGUAGCAUUCAAUUAUCAUUCACAGGAGUUACUCUCUGUGCUCACUGAUGUUUUGUGCCCAGAGUCUAGUGGGUAUUUGUGCCCAAAUACACAUUUUCCCUCACUGGUGCAGUACUAUGUGAAAUUUGCUUUUAAGCAUCCAUUUAUUUUAUAGUUAGUGUUUUUUAAGUUUCUAUGGGAAAAAAUGAAAUAUAUUUUAUAGAGUAAAAGUUUAUAUUCUUUUUCUAUUAAAAUGGCAGUCAACAAAGG